UACGUAGGGAGCAAGCGUUGUCCGGAAUCAUUGGGCGUAGAGCGCGCGUAGGCGGCCCCGUAAGUCCGCUGUGAAAGUCAAAGGCUCAACCUUUGAAAGCCGGUGGAUACUGUAGGGCUAGAGUCCGGAAGAGGCGAGUGGAAUUCCUGGUGUAGCGGUGGAAUGCGCAGAUAUCAGGAGGAACACCAAUAGCGAAGGCAGCUCGCUGGGACGGUACUGACGCUAAGGCGCGAAAGCGUGGGGAGCGAACAGG
rnacentral:rRNA from 1 species